GGUCUGGCAAGCAUCCUGCCCCCAUUAUAGUGAAAUGGGUUAAUAAAAUUACACUGGGAGAUUUACUGAAUUACUUACUAAUGUGUGAAUUCAGUCUGAAUUUCAAAUUUCAAGGCCAAAGUAGCUGAGAUGAAAGCAUAGCGGACGGAGAAUGUUUACAGUUUGGCUAUUUUCACCUUAAACUUGAAAUUCUCUUUGCAUUCUCACUUUUGUGGACAACCAUGUUAAUGUCAAAAUGCAGAGCUGGUGGGUUUAUAUAUUGUAAUCUGGUGUUACUGUUCACAGCCAAGUGCAAUUGACUUCCAUUUGUUGUUUGUAAUAUAUCCAUAAGCAUUUUGAAGAGAGUACCCUGUUUUCUGCCAACAAAAGAUUGAG